rnacentral:rRNA from 1 species
UUCAUCGAGGCCCGACCUCCCAACCCUGUGUUUACCCAACCGACCAACGUUGCUUCGGCGGACCGGCUCUCGACUUGCCCGUGCCUUUACCGGUGCGAGCGAGGGGGAACCGCCGGGACGGUCACACGUCCUGGAGCGUCGUCCGCCGACGGCCGACCACACAAACUCUUGUUGUAACAUGUCGUCUGAAUUUGAUUUGUAGAAAUACAAGCACAAAACUUUCAACAACGGAUCUCUUGGUUCUGGCAUCGAUGAAGAACGCAGCGAAAUGCGAUAAGUAAUGCGAAUUGCAGAAUUUCCGUGAGUCAUCGAAUCUUUGAACGCACAUUGCGCCCUUUGGUAUUCCGAAGGGCAUGCCUGUUCGAGCGUCAUUAUCCCCCCUCAAACCUCGGGUUUGGUGUUGGACCAAGUCAGCGAGCGACCAACCGGUCGUGAGCCGACCGGUCUCAAAGACAAUGACGGCGUCCGUGGGAGCCCCGGUACAAUGAGCUUGUCACGAGCACGUACCGCGUCUGGCGCACCGCGGACCCGGUCGACCGUCUACCCCUUGUGGGCAGACACUCUUUCAAGGUUGACCUCGGAUCAGGUAGGAAUACCCGCUGAACUUAAGCAUAUCAAUAAGCGGAGGAA